rnacentral:rRNA from 1 species
AUGGAUUCCAUCUUAGCUAACGGUACCUGGGAGAUCACUGACCGUCCAUAUGGGUGCAAACCUGUAGGAUGUAAGUGGGUGUUCAAGAAGAAGCUUAGACCUGAUGGUACGAUUGAAAAGUACAAGGCACGGCUUGUGGCCAAGGGUUAUACCCAGAAAGAAGGUGAAGACUUCUUUGAUACUUACUCACCCGUGGCUAGACUGGCCACAAUUCGGGUGCUACUAUCACUGGCUGCCUCACAUGGUCUUCUCGUCCAUCAAAUGGACGUUAAGACGGCUUUCCUUAAUGGAGAGUUGAAGGAGGAAAUUUACAUGGAUCAGCCAGAUGGUUUUGUAGUACCUGGUCAGGAAGGAAAGGUGUGCAAGUUAUUAAAGUCUUUAUAUGGCCUUAAACAAGCUCCUAAGGAGUGGCAUGAGAAGUUCGAAAGAACAUUAACUGCUGCCGGCUUUGUAGUAAACGAUGGUGACAAGUGCGUGUACUAUCGCUAUGGUGGGGGCGAAGGAGUUAUUCUUUGUCUGUAUGUCGACGACAUAUUGAUCUUUGGAACCAAACUUGAUUUAAUCAAGGAGGUUAAGGAUUUCUUAUCUCGCUGUUUUGAGAUGAAGGAUCUAGGAGUAGCUGAUGUUAUCUUAAACAUCAAGCUGUUGAGAGAUGAGAAUGGUGGGAUCACACUGCUUCAGUCUCAUUAUGUGGAAAAGGUCUUGAGUCGUUUUGGGUAUAGCGACUGCACGCCUUCUCCAACUCCAUAUGAUGCUAGUGUGUUGCUUCGAAAGAAUCGACGGAUUGCUAGAGAUCAACUGAGGUAUUCUCAGAUUAUUGGCUCGCUUAUGUAUUUGGCGAGUGCCACGAGACCUGCAAUCUCUUUUGAUGUGAGCAAGCUGAGUCGGUUUGUGUCAAAACCGGGAGAUGAUCAUUGGCAUGCGCUUGAGAGAGUUAUGCGCUAUUCGAAAGGCACCGCGAGCUGUGGGAUUCACUACACCGAGUAUCCAAGGGUACUGGAGGGUUAUAGUGACUCAAACUGGAUAUCUGAUGCUGAUGAGAUUAAGGCCACAAGUGGUUAUGUUUUUACACUUGGUGGUGGCGCUUUUUCCUGGAAGUCUUGCAAGCAGACCAUCUUAACGAGGUCAACUAUGGAAGCAGAACUCACAGCAUUAGACACUGCCACUGUUGAAGCAGAGUGGCUUCGUGAACUCUUGAUGGACUUACCUAUGGUUGAAAAACCAAUACCCCCUAUCCUGAUGAACUGUGAUAAUCAAACUGUGAUCGUCAAGAGAACACACCUAUAUGAAUUUGACUGUCAACGUCGCAGUCUGUGA